rnacentral:tRNA from 2 species
GGCACUGUAGCCAAGUGGUUACGGCGUCACGUUUAGGUCAAGCACCAAUCCGUGAUGGGAAACCUCGCGAGUUCGAAUCUCGUCAGUGUCA